rnacentral:rRNA from 1 species
AACGUAACAAGGUCUCCGUUGGUGAACCAGCGGAGGGAUCAUUACCGAGUACUAUAACUCAUAACCCUUUGUGAACCUUCAUACCUGUUGCUUCGGCGGCGCGCCUCUCGGGGCGUGCCCGCCGGCAUUAUCAGAAUCUCUGUUCGAACCCGACGAUACUUCUGAGUGUUCUAAGCGAACUGUUAAAACUUUCAACAACGGAUCUCUUGGCUCCAGCAUCGAUGAAGAACGCAGCGAAACGCGAUAUGUAAUGUGAAUUGCAGAAUUCAGUGAAUCAUCGAAUCUUUGAACGCACAUGGCGCCUUCCAGUAUCCUGGGAGGCAUGCCUGUCCGAGCGUCGUUUCAACCCUCGAGCCCCCGUGGCCCGGCGUUGGGGACCUGCCCAGGCAGUCCCCGAAAACCAGUGGCGGACCCGACGGGCCCUUCCUUUGCGUAGUAACAUCUGCCUCGCAUCGGGAGCCCCCGGGCUAUCCGGCCUCUAAACCCCCCUCAAGCCCGCUCCGGCGGCACCAAGGUUGACCUCGGAUCAGGUAGGAAUACCCGCUGAACUUAAGCAUAUCAAUAAUCCGGGAGGAA